UGGUAACAUGGUUGAAUAGAAAAAGCUCUUGAAAUAAACGCACAAUUUACAUAGAUGACGGCUAAGCAAUGUUUUAAAUAAAACCAGUGAAUUCGCGAAGUUGCAUAUUUACUCCUGCUUCCUGAGCAAACAUUGGCGCCCCCGGGUGGACUCACUGGUUCUUGGCCGUCUUCUAAACUUCGGAUUUGCGUAUUGUUAUAAGUUGGUAAAUCACCAAGAGUUAUAUAACAAGUGCACGCGGCCAAUUCGCGUUACGCAACAAAUGCAUCGGCAUCGCACAUUGGGUGCAUGGUCCAAGUUGGAGACGCAUUUACGCGCCCGUGCAACUUUAAUUUCAUCUUUCGUUGUUGGAGCGCCCGCACAGCCGGAGCGCAGUACCCACGUACAUCUCGGCGUAGAGGGAGCGCACAUCGGCUGCGUCCAUCUCCUCGCCACAUUCUCGUCGGCACCCAUAGAGAGGUGCAAUAGAACGUCGUCUUUCGUCGCUGGAGCACCCGGAGAGGGGUGAGCCCCAUACAUCAUCGUAGAGGGAGCGCACAUCGGCUGCGUCCCUAACCUCCAUUUCGUCACAGGAGAGCAUCAGCGGGCUUCAACCUAACCUCGUCGGAAACACCGAGAAGUACAGCGAUCCGUAUUGUAUAUGGUAAAGUGGCCUACAUUUGUUGGGCGGCGCGGCCCGCUCGAUCGACUCUACUGCGACAAUGCAACCAAUUUUGUUGGUUCCUCACGGCUGCUUCAGGAGAUGGCCUCCGAUGUCCGCAGCACACUGGGAACGUAAGGCGUCCAUCACCAGGUUGAGUUCGUCUUCAUUCCGCCCCGGUCGCCUCAUUUCGGGGGCCUAUGGGAGGCCGCCGUCAAGUCCGCCAAACACCUCUUUUUGAGGACCGUCGGAAACGCCUUGCUGAAGGAGGACGAAGUCCAGACGAUCCUGGUUGAAGUGGAAGCAGUGCUUAACUCGCAUCCGCUAAUAGCUGACAGCAGCAACCCUAACGACGGAGAGGCUAUUACUCCAGCCCACUUUCUGGUAGGCACCACGCUCGCUGCUCUACCCCCAGGAUCGGCACCUCCUCAUCCGGACGACGACCUAACUCAUCUACAACGCUGGCAGCUUAUAUCAGCCAUCAAGCGACGGUUUUGGCGAGACUGGUCCCGUGACUACAUAGCUGGGCUGCAGCAAAGAGUUAAGUGGACAAAGGAAUCGGCCAACCUUCUACCAGGAACCAUCGUCGUCAUCAAAGAGGACAAUUUACCGCCCCAGAAGUGGCUGCUCGGCAGAGUCACCGAAGUAACGCACGGAUCGGAUGGCAAGGUGCGCGUUGCUCUAGUAAAAACCAAGUAAGGCGUAUACAAACGCUCAGUACAUCAUCUGGCACCUCUUCCCAUUAAUUGAAGGCCUACAGCGCUUCAACGCGGGCGAUGUUUGGUCAUCUCACUGUUUGUUUUGUUUUCUAUGGUCGUUGCGAUGCCGACUAUCGAAAGCUGCGAGCAGGGGCGUAGCACAGCUGAUAAUCGCUAAUAAAUUACCCCCUACAAGUCGGCAAGCAACGAUCAUACAACAAAAUACUAGAUUAAAAAACUACUAAAUUACCAUAAAAUACUAACUCUAGAUACCAAUGUAAUAAGGAAGAUCUGAAACGAGCGAGUUGGUAACAUGGUUGAAUAGAAAAAGCUCUUGAAAUAAACGCACAAUUUACAUAGAUGACGGCUAAGCAAUGUUUUAAAUAAAACCAGUGAAUUCGCGAAGUUGCAUAUUUACUCCUGCUUCCUGAGCAAACAGAUGGGCUUACUAAAAUUUUAAGAUUGUACACAAAAAGCGACAAUUACAAAAGAAGCAUUAAGCGACUACUUCAGAGCUUAUAGCACACCAAAGUCAAUGGUUUCAGAUAGAGGCAGUUGCUUUACCUCUAAUGAAUUCAAGCAGUUCCUGUCGAAAAGAAACGUAAGACACUUAAAAAUAGCUAGUGGAUCCCCACAAGGAAAUGGGCAGGUCGAACGAAUAAAUAGAAGCAUUGGUCCUACGAUUGCAAAACUUACGGAACCUGAAAACGGUGCACAUUGGGACACAGUAAUUGAGCAAAUAGAGUAUACACUUAAUAACACUGUACACAGAAGUAUUAAAGAGAUCCCAAGCAAAAUGCUACUUGGUGUACAACAGAAGGGUUAGAUUGUAGAUGACCUUAGAGAAGGAAUUGAAGAUAUACAGGAUAUGAUUGUAACAGAACGUUUAAAAGAGAAUUGAAUAAAGGUUACGUAUAAUCAAAAUCAAGCACAGGCAUACAAUAAGACUUAUUUUGACAAUGCAAAGAAAAAGGCGAAGGAUUAUGCAAAGGGGGAUUACGUUAUGGUGAAAAAUGUUGAUAGUACAGCGGGAGUGGCAUGAAAGUUGAUACCCAAGAAUAAAGGCCCAUACAUUAUAGCAAAGGUACUUCACAACGGCAGGUUCUUUUUGAAGGAUGUUGAGGCUUCCAAGUCUCUCGAAAUCCAUACAAGGGUCAUUAGAGUGCUAAAAAAAAUAUAAGACCGUGGAUAGGUAAAAGGAAAUCAUUGUAAUGCAGAGGUUCAAUAUAACAUGUAAAGAAACAUAAGAAUAUUGUAAUUAGAUUUAACUUUAGUCCUAAGUACAUCAGGAUCAGGAGAUCCAGUACGCAGAAUGUCCGAAUUGUAGUAGGCUCAUCGGAUGGUCACAUUAUUACAGAUAUCUCUGGUAAGAGAGACGAAUUGAUAGUUUUUAAGUAACGGAGACGAAAUGCAGACUGGUGUGAACAGUCGAGCGAAACGAACGUGCUAAUAAAUAGUAUAAGUUUGUGCCUUCUGA